CUUUUUCUAGAAAAAACAAAUACUCUAUUUACUCGUAAAUUACUUUUCCCUUUUUCUAGAAGCUAAAUAAUCCCCGAAGCAAAUUACUCAAACCCUAGCCGCAUAACAUUUUAAAAAAAAAUCUCAACAUCAACCACAAUCAACUAUAAUUAGUCUGAAAUCCUAAAGCCUAGGAGAAAAAUAGGGGCUUCGGUGGUGAGAAGAUUGAUAUGAAAGGAAUAAGUCUCACCGGAGCUUCGCAACUCCGGCGAGAUCCCGACGGUCGAAGAAAUACCUCAGGUUGAUUGAGCUUUGGUGUGUAGGUUGGGAUGUGAUUUCAGCAGGGUGACGGUGCCAGAAGGGAGAGGCCUUUCAAUGAAUGAGCGCUCCCUUUUAUAGAGUUCAAUACGAGGUUCAAUCCGCUCCUCCUUCAUGAGCUGGCAAAUCUUUGGAUGAAUCAAUCCGUUAGCCAAAAGAAUCUCGUCCAGAUUUGGUGGUCCUCCCUUUUGACGUGGACCCCAAAAUGAAGGUUUUGGGUUAACUGAUGCCAUGAGGAAAAGACACUCACUUAAAUGGCCGUUUGGACUGUUGUGAAUGGUGAACUGACAUGACAGAAUACUAUUUGGCCAGUUCAGUUACCACUGAUGCACUGCAGGUUAUUACCAUGAAUUCACACAUUGAUGCAGGGUGGUAAACUCUUCAUGUUGCAGAGUGGUGGUGACUUAAAUGGUCAAGCGGAGAUUGAGGCCGCUUGCGAGUCUGUAGCCCGUGUACGUCCAGCCUUCAGUAAACAGUUCAGAACAUGAGGUUAUGUUCUUAUUAUCCUCGCACUCAUUGAUUGAAUCAUUGCUGAAUUGUGGUAUGCAUUAUCUGUUUGGAUUGCGGACCCUGCAUUGACUUGCAGGAUUCAUAUUGGUGGCAUGACGAAUUCUUAUUCACUGCCUUGGUUGUGAAAGCGGCUUUUGUGUUCUUUUGGCUUAUGUUACCGUAGAAUUUGCAGCAAUUGGUGAUACUAUUCCGUCUUACAAUACCAAUCCAUUGUUGACUGGUUCUUCAUGUCUUGUUGACUUAGUUUUUUUUGUUUUGAGCUCUGCAAAGCACAUGUUGUUAUGACUGUUGAGUUGGUAUUGACGACAUCGCUACCUUUGAGCUAACUCAUUGCUUCUCAUAGCCCUUGAUUUGGGUUGAUCCGAAAACUGCAUAGGCUAGGUUUGUUGGCUUCAAUGCAGGUUUUGCUUUAUUUCCUGCAACAUAUAUGAUAUUAAGGAUGACGAUGCCUCGGUUUAGAUGCCACGAUAUGCUGCUGAUUUAUGUUUCUGUUGUGAGAAAUGCAGGUUUCUAGGUUGCUUAAGAUUUGCGCUGUCUUGUGUGACUCAUGCUGGCACAAUACUACUUGAGGCCUCUUUUCAACCAAACUUUCCAUCUUUAGGAAAUAACCGUACCAUUAAGUCGAAGGAAAUGACAAGGAAAUGAUGGUGUUGCAGGUGAAACAGAUAUUUGCUGUGAUGAACUUUGUGAUUGACCUUAGGUGUGGUUUUGUAUGUGUUGUCAUGAUGCUUAGGUAAGGUACUUGGUCAUUGUGUGUCAACAUGUGGAUUGGUUUUUGGUUGAGUAUGCUGCUCAUGCUGCAGUUUGAUGAUCACCGUUUUGCAGGACAUGGGAUUUACGGUGCUAGCUAUUCUAAAAAUCAAUUUGUACUUAGCCUGAUACAAAUAACAUUUCUGAUUUUGAAUGUGAACUUUUCUUUUUAAA